GAUGCUCCCGCGUAGCAUUAGGUAGUCGGUGAGGUUACGGCCCAGCAAGGCGGAGAUGCGUUGCCGACCUGAGAGUGUGCCCGGCCACAGUGGGAAUGUGACCGGGGCCUGACUCUUACGGGAGGCAGCAGUAGGGAAUCUUCCACAAUGUGCGAAUUGCUUGAUGGAGCACACGCGGUUUUGAAUCAUGAAGGCCUCGUGGUUGUAAAAGUCGGUCAUUCGGGACGAAUUGGAGUCUGAGGAAAGGCUGCCUCUCUGAGGCUACCGGAGGAGGAAGGGCCGGCUAAAUACGCGCCAGCAGCCGUGGUCAUAUGUAGUGGGCAAGCGUUGUCCGGAUUCGCUGGGCGUUAAGCGCGCGCAGGGGGUAAUGUAAGUGGGAGGAUAAAACCCGAAGGUCAACUUGUUGUUUCCCUUUGAGACAGGGUGACAAGGGGAUCCGGAGAGGCAAUGGGGAAUUGUUUCCAGGAGCUGUGCCAUGAGUAGAGACGGGAUGCACACGUGUUGUGAACGCGUCCUGCGGGCAUCACCUAAAAGGCCGAGGGGCGUAAGUGUGGUGAGCAAACCGGCAGCGAUCCUCCUGAAG
rnacentral:rRNA from 1 species